rnacentral:lncRNA from 1 species
UCAGAGAUCAGCACUGAUUUGCUGCAUUUGAUGAUGUAAUAAUAAACACUGAUUCAGUGUAAUUUUGUUUUCUGAGUUUGAAAAACUACUUUAGUAAAAUGAUUCUAAUGUUUGAUGGACAGGAAUUGUGAAGCACGGUAAGCCUCAUAGCGCUGCAGGACUUUUAUUUUGACAGCUGGUUUCCAGCUGUAACGCCAUUGGCUCCUGAGCUGCAGUGGAGUGAUGUGAUUGGCUGAUGAGUUCCGGGGUUCUGCAGCUGCGGGUCUUUAGUGCAGAAACAGCAGCAGCAGCAGACUGUUGGAGGUUCAGGUGAUUCAGGGCUGUUGAUUGGAUGUGAUCAGAUCAGGUGAAUAAUGGAAGGGUGCUGCAGGUUUCCCCCGGUCUCCAGUAAAGUGGAGCAGCAGAAGAUCCAGCUCUGAUCAGCAGCAGCUCCACACCUCUGUACUCAGACUGAUCUGCUGGAGGAACACCAUCAGCUCACCUGCUGCAGAAAUAUAUACCAUCCUGUUCCAAGUAU